AUUGAACGCUGGCGGCAUGCUUUACACAUGCAAGUCGAACGGUAACAGGCCGCAAGGUGCUGACGAGUGGCGAACGGGUGAGUAAUGCAUCGGAACGUGCCCAGUCGUGGGGGAUAACUGCUCGAAAGAGCAGCUAAUACCGCAUACGAUCUAUGGAUGAAAGCGGGGGACCGUAAGGCCUCGCCCGAUUGGAGCGGCCGAUGUCAGAUUAGGUAGUUGGUGGGGUAAAGGCUCACCAAGCCAACGAUCUGUAGCUGGUCUGAGAGGACGACCAGCCACACUGGGACUGAGACACGGCCCAGACUCCUACGGGAGGCAGUAGUGGGGAAUUUUGGACAAUGGGGGCAACCCUGAUCCAGCAAUGCCGCGUGCAGGAAGAAGGCCUUCGGGUUGUAAACUGCUUUUGUACGGAACGAAACGGUCUGGGUUAAUACCCUGGGCUAAUGACGGUACCGUAAGAAUAAGCACCGGCUAACUACGUGCCAGCCGCCGCCGUAAUAC
rnacentral:rRNA from 1 species